UACGUAGGGUGCAAGCGUUAAUCGGAAUUACUGGGCGUAAAGCGUGCGCAGGCGGUUGUGCAAGACAGAUGUGAAAUCCCCGGGCUCAACCUGGGAAUUGCAUUUGUGACUGCACGGCUAGAGUGUGUCAGAGGGGGGUAAAAUUCCACGUGUAGCAGUGAAAUGCGUAGAGAUGUGGAGGAAUACCGAUAGCGAAGGCAGCCCCCUGGGAUAACACUGACGCUCAUGCACGAAAGCGUGGGGAGCAAACAGG
rnacentral:rRNA from 1 species